CAGGUUCCAGCCCCGACCCGGGCGCGCGGGGCCGACUAGGGUCGGGUCCAGUGUGCGGUGGUCGCUCCGCUCCGGGCCGCUCCGCUCUGGGCGUCAGGGCGCGGGGAGCUGCCCCGGGGUUCUGUCCACCGGGGAGGAAAGCCACGAGCACUGAGCGCCUCCUGAGAGCCAGCCCUGACGUGAACUCAUUUUAUCUGCCACGACCCAGAAGGAGUCUACUGCUAAGAUUUCAGCAUGUCCUGUGGCUGAGUUAAUCAGAGUUAUGACAGGAAGGUACCGGGCACACCAUCGCAAUGCUCCAUCAAUGCUAGUAUGUUGUGUUCUUUCCUUCAUAUCAAGUCAACUCAAGCUUGCUCUACUUACCUGGUGUACACAGUCUAAGAACUGUAAGAAGACUGGAGCAAAACCACUCCCCUGACAGUUGAGGGUCAAGCUGCUCCUCUGACUGAAUUUGUGACCAAAAGAGAGCCACUCUUUUUCAACCAACAUCUGGAAGCCUUCAAGUGUCCUAUAAAAGGGAUCACUGAGUAACUGAACCAGGGAUGUCACCUAGGGCAUAAGCAGGAUGGAUUGUCAUUAAUUUUAGUUCUGAAAAAGGCCUAUUACUAAGAUAAAAGCACUUCCUUCUGAUGAUAGCUAAUUCACAAAUUUACCUGGACAGCAAAUUUGUUCACUAACCAUUCCAGGAUGGCCAAUAAAAUUAAUUUUGUAAACUUGCCAGUAAAAACUAAAGCUCAAAUUCAUUUUGGCUACAAGUUUACUUUCAGGGAAUUGAGACUUUAAUCCUUAACUGGCCAGUUUGCUGACAGCAACCUUUUCCUAAGUUAAUCAGAGGCCAGAGGAUCAGUUAAAAUCAAUUCUACUUUUUGGCAGAUGCAGAUUAAUGUCUUAAUGUAGUCUGAACUCACACUUUUCACUCUGGAGUGAGUUAAGGCGGGGCUUAUAGAGAGCCAGGGGAUGGACUGACAAAACCCAGGAAGGAUGGUCCACGCCUCACACUGCUGGUCAAGGGCUCCAUCCGCAAGCCUGCAUGGUACAUCUGUGGAUGGGAGAGCUUGAUGCCCGGAGCCAGAGCUCCAGGCUGCGUAGGGGCUAAGAGCUCAUGGUACGGAGUUUUCUGAUGGAUACCAGGUGCUGUUUAACACAGGACUUUCUCUGUCCAUAAACACAUUAGUCAUUAUACAAAAGAGUCAUCUGAAGAAUUUAAAAAUGACCAAAUGGAAAUAUAAAUAUAAAAUAUCAAAAAAUAUGUCUAAUAGUUUACUUGUGCAGUGAUGUCCCAGCCUUCCUCCAAACAGACCAAAACUGAGGAACCAUUCUCAAGUACUUCUGAUACAACCACAGCCAGCUGCAUUAUCCUGUGAAGCUAAGAGACAGGAAGGAGAACACAAUUAGACCAAGCGCUUUCUGAGUGCAGAAGUCAGAGAGAGUUGCUUUCAACCCUGGAUAAUCAAACGACUUAGGGAUAAAGCGCUUGCACAAAAGAACCACAUAAUGUUUUAAAUACCUAAAGUUCUUUCAAAUCAAGAUUAAACAAUGACACUUUUGACUGGAUGCAAUGACUCAUGCCCAUAAUCCCAGCACUUUGGGAGGCCGAGCCGGGCAGGUCAUUUGAGGUUCGGAGUUCGAGACCAGCCUGGGCAACAUAAGCAAGACCCUGUCUCGAAAAAUAAAAAUAAAAAAGAUACUCCUAUUUGUCUAUACUGUGUACUAAAUGAGAAAAAAACUUUCAAUAUAUUUGUGCUAAGUUUUUAAAGCCACAUCAAUUGGCUCAAAGUCCUUAAUAAACAAUUAAGGUAUGAGAAUAGUAUAUAGAUUUUAAAACCAGAUGUAUAACAUUGUAAUUUUAAAAAAUAUUUUAAUGAUCAUCAGACAUAAUUUGCAAUUUGAAUCCAACUCUGAACAAGAACAAAAAUGAAAAAACCCAUCUCUUAAACAGAGCUAGGCUACUUUAAACACAGGAAUAAGGCAAAUGCCCUACUCAGUAAUGAGAAGCUCCUCAUGUAACUGUUUCUACAACAUAGCUAUCACCAGGCCUGAAUUCUUUUGGGCUCAGAAUUUGUUCUAAGAAAUGGCUAUUAUUAAAAAGUCAAAAAAUAACAGAUGCUGGCGAGCCUGUGGAGAAAAGGGAAUGUAUAUACAUUUCUGGUGGGAAUGUAAAUUAGUUCAGCCAUUGUAGAAAGUAGUUUGGUGAUUUCUCAAAUAACUUAAAACAGAAUUACCAUUUGACCUAGCAAUCCCAUUACUGAGUAUAUACCCAAAGGAAUAUAAAUUGUUCUACCAUAAAGUCACAUGCACACACAUGUUCAGUGCUGUACUAUUCACAAUAGCAAAGACAUGGAGUCAACCUAUAUGCCCAUCAACGGUAGACUGGAUAAAGAAAAUAUGGUACAUAUACACCAUGGAAUACUACACAGCCAUAAAAAGAAUGAGCUUAUGUCCUUUGCAGUAACACAGCUGAAGCAAACUAACACAGGAAUGGAAAACCAAAUACUGCAUAUUCUCACUUAUAAGUGGGAGCUAAACAUUGAGUACACAUGGACACAAAGAAAGGAAUAGACGCCUGGGGCGUAUUUGAGGUUGGAGGUGAGAGGAGGGUGAGGAUAGAAAAACUACCUAUCAGGUACUAUGCUUAUUACCUGGGUGAUGAAAUAAUCUGUACACCAAACUCCCAAGAUAUGCAAUGUACCUAUACAACAAACCUACAU